UACGGGGGGGGCAAGCGUUGUUCGGAAUUACUGGGCGUAAAGGGCUCGUAGGCGGCCAACUAAGUCAGACGUGAAAUCCCCAGGCUCAACCUGGGAACUGCGUCUGAUACUGGAUGGCUUGAAUCCGGGAGAGGGAUGCAGAAUUCCUGGUGUAGCGGUGGAAUGCGCAGAUAUCAGGAGGAACACCGGUGGCGAAGGCGCCACUCUGGGCCGGUACUGACGCUGAGGAGCGAAAGCGUGGGGAGCGAACAGG
rnacentral:rRNA from 1 species